AUUGAACGCUGGCGGCAGGCCUAACACAUGCAAGUCGAGCGAGCGGCGGACGGGUGAGUAAUGUCUGGGAAACUGCCGGAUGGAGGGGGAUAACUACUGGAAACGGUAGCUAAUACCGCAUACCAUCAGAUGUGCGCAGAUGGGAUUUGCUAGUAGGGGGGGUAACGGCCCACCUAGGCGACGAUCCCUAGCUGGUCUGAGAGGAUGACCAGCCACACUGGAACUGAGACACGGUCCAGACUCCUACGGGAGGCAGCAGGGGGGAAUAUUGCACAAUGGGCGAAAGCCUGAUGCAGCCAUGCCGCGUGUGUGAAGAAGGCCUUCGGGUUGUAAAGCGCUGUCAGCGGGGAAGCGUUACCCGAAGAAGAAGCACCGGCUAACUCCGUGCCAGCAGCCGCGGUAAUUC
rnacentral:rRNA from 1 species